AGAGACAGCAGUCGCCGCGGGAAUAUGUAGGUCCCGAGCGUUGUCCGGAUUUAUUGGGCGUAAAGCGAGCGCAGGCGGUUAGAUAAGUCUGAAGUUAAAGGCUGUGGCUUAACCAUAGUACGCUUUGGAAACUGUUUAACUUGAGUGCAAGAGGGGAGAGUGGAAUUCCAUGUGUAGCGGUGAAAUGCGUAGAUAUAUGGAGGAACACCGGUGGCGAAAGCGGCUCUCUGGCUUGUAACUGACGCUGAGGCUCGAAAGCGUGGGGAGCAAACAGGAUUAGAUACCCCCGUAGUCCCUGUCUCUUAUACA
rnacentral:rRNA from 1 species